rnacentral:rRNA from 1 species
UAGCUAGUUGGUGAGGUAACGGCCCACCAAGGCAACGAUCGGUAGCCGGACUGAGAGGUUGAACGGCCACAUUGGGACUGAGACACGGCCCAGACUCCUACGGGAGGCAGCAGUGGGGAAUAUUGCACAAUGGGGGAAACCCUGAUGCAGCGACGCCGCGUGGAGGAAGAAGGUCUUCGGGUUGUAAACUCCUGUUGUUGAGGAAGAUAAUGACGGUACUCAACAAGGGAGUGACGGCUAACUACGUGCCAGCAGCCGCGGUAAAACGUAGGUCACAAGCGUUGUCCGGAAUUACUGGGUGUAAAGGGAGCGCAGGCGGGAAGACAAGUUGGAAGUGAAAUCCAUGGGCUCAACCCAUGAACUGCUUUCAAAACUGUUUUUCUUGAGUAGUGCAGAGGUAGGCGGAAUUCCCGGUGUAGCGGUGGAAUGCGUAGAUAUCGGGAGGAACACCAGUGGCGAAGGCGGCCUACUGGGCACCAACUGACGCUGAGGCUCGAAAGUGUGGGUAGCAAACAGGAUUAGAUACCCUGGUAGUCCACACCGUAAACGAUGAUUACUAGGUGUUGGAGGAUUGACCCCUUCAGUGCCGCAGUUAACACAAUAAGUAAUCCACCUGGGGAGUACGACCGCAAGGUUGAAACUCAAAGGAAUUGACGGGGGCCCGCACAAGCAGUGGAGUAUGUGGUUUAAUUCGACGCAACGCGAAGAACCUUACCAAGUCUUGACAUCCUGCGACGAUGCUGGAAACAGUAUUUUCCUUCGGGACGCAGAGACAGGUGGUGCAUGGUUGUCGUCAGCUCGUGUCGUGAGAUGUUGGGUUAAGUCCCGCAACGAGCGCAACCCUUAUGGUCAGUUACUACGCAAGAGGACUCUGGCCAGACUGCCGUUGACAAAACGGAGGAAGGUGGGGAUGACGUCAAAUCAUCAUGCCCUUUAUGACUUGGGCUACACACGUACUACAAUGGCGUUAAACAAAGAGAAGCAAGACCGCGAGGUGGAGCAAAACUCAGAAACAACGUCCCAGUUCGGACUGCAGGCUGCAACUCGCCUGCACGAAGUCGGAAUUGCUAGUAAUCGUGGAUCAGCAUGCCACGGUGAAUACGUUCCCGGGCCUUGUACACACCGCCCGUCACACCAUGAGAGCCGGGGGGACCCGAAGUCGGUAGUCUAACCGCAAGGAGGACGCCGCCGAAGGUAAAACUGGUGAUUGGGGUGAAGUCGUAACAAGGUAACCGUACUAGUACGGAAUUUG